rnacentral:rRNA from 1 species
GCCAGACUCCUACGGGAGGCAGCAGUGAGGAAUAUUGGUCAAUGGCCGAGAGGCUGAACCAGCCAAGUCGCGUGAGGGAAGACGGCCCUACGGGUUGUAAACCUCUUUUGUCAGGGAGCAAAGGGCGCCACGUGUGGCGUUUUGCGAGUACCUGAAGAAAAAGCAUCGGCUAACUCCGUGCCAGCAGCCGCGGUAAUACGGAGGAUGCGAGCGUUAUCCGGAUUUAUUGGGUUUAAAGGGUGCGCAGGCGGAAUGUCAAGUCAGCGGUAAAAUUUCGGGGCUCAACCCCGUCGUGCCGUUGAAACUGGCAGUCUCGAGUUGGAGAGAAGUAUGCGGAAUGCGCGGUGUAGCGGUGAAAUGCAUAGAUAUCACGCAGAACGCCGAUUGCGAAGGCAGCUUACCGGCGCUCAACUGACGCUGAGGCACGAAAGUGCGGGUAUCGAACAGGAUUAGAUACCCUAGUA